rnacentral:lncRNA from 1 species
CGAAGGGAGAAGAUGGAGUAGAGGCACAGAGGAAAACAUCGUUGUGGGUUGACAAGAUAGAAUACCUGUCUGUGCUGAAGUCUGUGCUGCCUGAGACAGCAAUAUAUGGCAAGUAAAGCACUCCAAAGCUGUUAUCUUCAGGACUGUAUUUCCCAGAAAUAACUUUAUCCUGUUGCUUUUAUACAACUUAGUGGGAAACAUCAUUCUGUUCCUCCCAUUGUUGGGUCAUAUCUCUGCCUCUUGGGAAAAACCUUUUGUAAAACAACACAGGUGGAGGACUCAACCCUGGAAUAGUGCCCUGGAGCAGCAUGUUACCUUCCUUCCCUUCGGCAACGAUGGGCUGUUUUAAAACUGUCAAAGUCUCAUUCUCACUUCCAGCUGAG